UACCGUUUGUAACCUGGAGGUUAAGAAUCGGUCACAGGUCACAAUCUAUUCGACGACACAUGGUUACAUUGGAAUAGACAUUUCAAUAAAGGGAUACUGAACGAGUUGACAGUGAAUUUGACUGUGAUUUUACAGUUUCUUUCAGAAAAGGUAACCGAUAUGAUACGUUAUUAAAAAGUUUUCUAGAACUCUUACCGUAGGACAACCCUGUGUACGUGAAUUCUGAAGAAGGCUAUGUCUAUAAAUGACUGCUACGUGAUGUAUGUGAUCUGUGGCCUAUGCAAGUGUAAUGGACAAGACUCUACUCAGCUCAUGAAAACAACAUCCGAACUGUCGGAAACAAGAACAUGUUAACGGUACUUCUACAAAAGACAAGGAAUCACCAGAAGGGGUUUAGUUGACAAUUUGGAAAAGAAAAUUGAACACCUAAACACGAAUGUUUUAAAGGACAUAAAUUUCUUAUCCCCAAAACAACAUUGGAAACUGCAGUAGCAUGAUUCUAUUUUAAGUGAUAUUUUCAGUGAGGUGCUGUCUACUUUAUAUCGCAAAUAUACAACUAUAAGUUUGUGUUUCCUAUAUUACUGUAUUAUAUUUUUUCUUUCAUUCUGUUUCUUAAUUCUUUAAGAAUUAACGUUGAAAAGUUUGAACCACCGGCUACUGUGGUAUAUUCAGCCAAGCACAUCAAUCAACCUACCGUACAACUCAUUUUUAUGUUAACAUUCUCGACUUUGGAUUGACAUUCUAAGAAGUUAAUCGCAUUAACUUAACGCUUACUGUGAAAUAAACUUGUCAUCUAUAAAUUUCAACGACACUUAGUUAAUUGGAUAAAUACAGCACUUGGGGAACUAACGGCGUGCCGGUCUUGUCUGGUUUCGUUCGCUGAGAACAAUUCAAGCCAGACUGUGUUGGCCUCUUAGAUUUAACUUUCAUAAAAUCAUAAAUAGCCUAAUUAUUUUAUUUAUUAUAAUGUGUAGUGGGGUAAAAAAGUACCUCUAAUAAAAUACCUAACAGAUCAUACAAACAAACAAAAAACAAGUGAAGAUAUAAACUACUAUUAUAAAAGAGUAUCUUUUGUAUUGAAAAGUACUUCUUAGAAGAAAGAACGAAUAAAUAUACAAUAAUGGUUAAGGAUUGGACACUGUUAAACCUUCUAUUGUUUUUAUGCAGAGGAACAGAAAAAGAAAAAAUACAUGAAAACCUAACAAAAACAGAAUAGGUGUCUAAUAUAAUUCCCACAUUAUUAUAAAAUUUAACACAAGGGAUUUUUUUUAAUUUGAAAUAACAACUAUGUUCUGAAAACGGAAGUUUUUAAUGUUUACAAAUCAAGAUGUCUAUAUAAAUAUAUAUAUACAUAUAUAUAUCAACAAUGAAAAAAAAUAUAUAUAUAUAUAUCAACAAUAUAUAUUAUUUUAACAAUCUUUAAAGCUAAGCUUAUGUCACCUCUGCGACUGGCAUAAAAAAAGACCUCAACUAGUUGCUGCUAGCGGUCAAGUUGCCGUCUACU
rnacentral:lncRNA from 1 species